rnacentral:rRNA from 1 species
GACGAACCGUGCGAACGUUGUUCGGAAUCACUGGGCUUAAAGGGCGCGUAGGCGGGCCCUCAAGUCCGGGGUGAAAUCCUCCCGCUUAACGGGAGAAGAGCCUCGGAGACUGGGGGCCUCGAGGGAGGUAGGGGCGUGCGGAACUAUGGGUGGAGCGGUGAAAUGCAUUGAUAUCCAUAGGAACUCCGGUGGCGAAGGCGGCACGCUGGACCUCUUCUGACGCUGAGGCGCGAAAGCCAGGGGAGCAAACGGG